rnacentral:rRNA from 1 species
ACAAUGGAGAGUUUGAUCCUGGCUCAGGAUGAACGCUAGCGGCAGGCCUAAUACAUGCAAGUCGGACGGGAUUGUGGAGCUUGCUUCACAUGAGAGUGGCGCACGGGUGCGUAACACGUAUGUAACCUACCUUAAUCUGGGGGAUAGCCUCUCGAAAGAGAGAUUAACACCGCAUAACAUUACGACAUAGCAUUUUGUUGUAAUCAAAUAUUUAUAGGAUUAAGAUGGGCAUGCGGAACAUUAGCUAGUUGGUAAGGUAAUGGCUUACCAAGGCUACGAUGUUUAGGGGAUCUGAGAGGAUGACCCCCCACACUGGUACUGAGACACGGACCAGACUCCUACGGGAGGCAGCAGUAAGGAAUAUUGGUCAAUGGGCGCAAGCCUGAACCAGCCAUGCCGCGUGCAGGAAGACGGCCCUACGGGUUGUAAACUGCUUUUGUACCGGAAUAAACCCCUUUUCGUGAAGAGGGCUGAAUGUACGGUAAGAAUAAGGAUCGGCUAACUCCGUGCCAGCAGCCGCGGUAAUACGGAGGAUCCAAGCGUUAUCCGGAUUUAUUGGGUUUAAAGGGUGCGUAGGCGACCUAUUAAGUCAGGGGUGAAAGACGGUAGCUUAACUAUCGCAGUGCCUUUGAUACUGAUAGGCUUGAAUACACUUGAGGUAGGCGGAAUGUGACAAGUAGCGGUGAAAUGCAUAGAUAUGUCACAGAACACCAAUUGCGAAGGCAGCUUACUAAAGUGUCAUUGACGCUGAGGCACGAAAGCGUGGGGAUCAAACAGGAUUAGAUACCCUGGUAGUCCACGCCCUAAACGAUGAAUACUCGAUGUUGGCGAUAUACGGUCAGCGUCUAAGCGAAAGCGUUAAGUAUUCCACCUGGGGAGUACGCCCGCAAGGGUGAAACUCAAAGGAAUUGACGGGGGCCCGCACAAGCGGAGGAGCA